CCUACGGGGCGCAGCAGUGAGGAAUAUUGGUCAAUGGGCGGGAGCCUGAACCAGCCAAGUCGCGUGAAGGAAGAAGGUACUUAGUAUUGUAAACUUCUUUUGUCGGGGAACAAAGGCGGAGACGCGUCUCCGGAUGAGUGUACCCGAAGAAAAAGCAUCGGCUAACUCCGUGCCAGCAGCCGCGGUAAUACGGAGGAUGCGAGCGUUAUCCGGAUUGAUUGGGGUAAAGGGGUGCGCAGGCGGGAGAUCAAGUCAACGGUAAAAUGUCGGGGCUAAACCUCGGCCGGCCGUUGAAACUGGUUUUCUAGAGUUGGAGAGAGGUAGGUGGAAUUCGUGGUGUAGCGGUGAAAUGCAUAGAGAUGACGAAGAACUCCGGUGGCGAAGGCAGCAUACCGGCUCCAGACUGACGCUGAGGUACGAAAGCGUGGGGAGCGAACAGGAUUAGAUACCCUUGUAGUC
rnacentral:rRNA from 1 species